UAGGGAAUCCUCUGCAAUGGGGGCAACCCUGACCGAGCAACGCCGCGUGAGUGAAGAAGGUUUUCGGAUCGUAAAGCUCUGUUGUAAGAGAAGAACGUGUGUGAGAGUGGAAAGUUCACACAGUGACGGUAACUUACCAGAAAGGGACGGCUAACUACGUGCCAGCAGCCGCGGUAAUACGUAGGUCCCGAGCGUUGUCCGGAUUUAUUGGGCGUAAAGCGAGCGCAGGCGGUUUAAUAAGUCUGAAGUUAAAGGCAGUGGCUUAACCAUUGUUCGCUUUGGAAACUGUUAAAGUAGAGUGCAGAAGGGGAGAGUGGAGUUCCAUGUGUAGCGGUGAAGUGCGUAGAUAUGAGGAGGAGCACCGGUGGCGAGAGCGGCUCUCUGGUCUGUAACUGACGCUGAGGCGAGAAGGCGUAGAGAGCAAACAGG
rnacentral:rRNA from 1 species